rnacentral:lncRNA from 10 species
CGUGAUCGCCCAGUGUCUGGUGCAGCUCUCCUCUGCUAGAAGCACUUUUAGAUUCACGAUUCAAGGUCAGGAUGACAAAGUGUAUAUCUUCUAUGGCUUUUAAAUUCAGACAGUUUGGUGAUUGAAUCUUUGAGAAAUUCCAAAUAUAUCAAAAAAUUCCCCUUGUUGGAAAACACAUUCAAAGCCGAUUCUAGUUCUGCCUGGAGUGCUGUCAAGGUCCUCUACCAGCCAUGCAUCAAAAGCAGGAAUGAAAACUUGUCAGCUUGUGGGAAAGUGACAUCAGCGUCCACCCGCUAACCCUGCCCUCUGCAACCUGCUUGGAGCUGCUGUUGAUAUUGUCAAAGAGUAAUGCCAAUCUGCCUUCAUCCCUUCGCCGUGUGAAUUCCUUUCAGUGGCCUUUUUGAAGAUGUAACUAUUAGAGCUGGGCAUUCUCCUCCCCCGGCAGACAGCUCUCAAGCAGGAGCACACCGAGGCCAGCAGUCAGCUCAGGAGGCAUCAAUUACAAAGACAAGAACCAGAGCUAUGGGAUAAGAGCAUUGCAUUGAAGUUUUAAGUUUACUUGUUUGCAUGUAUUCUCUAAGAGAAGAGUUAACUUUAGAUCUUUGAAAACCCAGGACUGUGAAGAAAGUCAUAGUAGCAGGUUGAGGCAAGUGUAGAAGUUACAUCUCUAUUUCCCACAGAGAGGAAUAUUCACAUAUGUGCAGUGUCAGCACCACCUGGAAGGUUAUUACCUAAUGGAGAUCCAUCUGUCCUGUGUGGAAUCCAGUGAGGAAUUUUAUUGGUGGAACUGAAUGUUAACUGCUGUAAAUCCUAGGAAAUAAACUUUUAAAGAGUUUCUCAGGAUGAUUUAAAACAAAUUUUAAAAAAGAAAAGUAGAAAACAUUUUAUACUUUAUUCAGAGGAGAUGCUCAAUAGAUGUUUGUUGAAUGAAUGAUUAUCAAAUUAAAGGAUUUCCUAUUUAUGCAAAUCUGCAUGUUUCUUUUGUUAUUU